UACGUAGGGGGCUAGCGUUGUCCGGAAUCAUUGGGCGUAAAGAGCGUGUAGGCGGCCCGGUAAGUCCGCUGUGAAAGUCCAGGGCUCAACCCUGGGAUGCCGGUGGAUACUGUCGGGCUCGAGUCCGGAAGAGGCGAGUGGAAUUCCUGGUGUAGCGGUGAAAUGCGCAGAUAUCAGGAGGAACACCUGUGGCGAAAGCGGCUCACUGGACCAUAACUGACGCUGAUGCACGAAAGCUAGGGGAGCAAACAGG
rnacentral:rRNA from 1 species